rnacentral:tRNA from 2 species
GGUCCCAUAGCUCAGCGGAAGAGCGCUCGCCUCACACGCGAGAGGUCGCUGGUUCGAACCCAGCUGGGACCACCA